UUAAAUGCGAGUGUCCUCCAGGAUUUAAAGGAGACGGUGUUAAGAAGUGUGAAGACAUUAAUGAAUGCAAAGAGAAAAAAGCCUGUCAGUGCCCGGAAUGUAGCUGUAAGAACACCUGGGGAAGCUAUGAGUGCUCUUGUAGUGGGGACCUUCUCUACAUGAGAGA